rnacentral:rRNA from 1 species
GUAGCGAAAUGCGAUACCUGGUGUGAAUUGCAGAAUCCCGCGAACCAUCGAGUCUUUGAACGCAAGUUGCGCCCGAGGCCUUCCGGCCGAGGGCACGCCUGCCUGGGCGUCACGCUAAAAGACACUCCCCCCCCAUCGGGGGAGCGGGAUGCGGCAUGUGGCCUCCCGUCUCGCAAGGGGCGGUGGGCCGAAGAUAUGGCUGCCGGCGUAUCGUGCCGGACACAGCGCUAGGUGGGCGUUCUCGCUAAGCUUAUCGCAGUGUAUCCGGUGCGUAGCCGGCAGAGAUGGGCCUCUAAAGACCCUUUGAACGGUGCGCAUGACGCUCCGACCGCGACCCCAGGUCAGGCGGGACUACCCGCUGAAUUUAAGCAUAUAAAUAAGCGGAGGAGAAGAAACUUACAAGGAUUCCCCU